CGGAGGAAAAGAAACUAACAAGGAUUCCCCUAGUAGCGGCGAGCGAAGCGGGAAAAGCCCAAAAUGAAAAGCCUGCUUGCAGGCGUUGUAUUUGGAUGACCCUGGGGUGUCAGUGUGGGUAAGUUGUAUGAAAGUACACACCGUGGAGGGUGAAAGUCCCGUCCAACCUGCACAGGACGCUCCGUACCGGGUUGUUUCAGUCGAGUCGGGUAGCUUGGGAAUGCUGCUCUAAUUGGUGGUAAAUCUCAUCAAAGGCUAAAUAUUGACCAGAGACCGAUAGCGAACAAGUACCGUGAGGGAAAGAUGACAAGCACUUUGAAAAGAGGGUGAAAAGAGCCUGAAACCGUCAUGGGGGAAGCGAGUUGCGUUGGGACUACGGGUCGUUGCGUGUUCAGCCGAAGAGUCUGACUCUACGGUGCAUUGGCGUAGCGACCUAUCUGUCGUGGGUUUCGGUGGGUCGAUUUUGGACCGACCGGGGCUGAGGGCUCCCUUUCAUAGGUGAGGACGAUGGAAUGACGACGCGAUUCGACCCGUCUUGAAACACGGACCAAGGAGUCUAGCGCGACUGCGAGUCAAAGGGUGCAAGCCUGAGGGCGUAGUGAAAGCGAGUGUGAAAACGAGCAGUUUGGGGCGGCAUGAGAUCGUUGAUUUCAAGUCUGACCUAGAGCAGUUGCGCUGGGACCCGAAAGAUGGUGAACUAUUCCGGAUUGGGGCAAAGCCAGAGGAAACUCUGGUGGAGGCCCGUAGAGGUGCUGACGUGCAAAUCGCUCUCGCGAAUUUGGAAUAGGGGCGAAAGACUCAUCGAACCAUCUAGUAGCUGGUUCCCUCCGAAGUUUCUCUCAGGAUAGCGGGCCGACGAGUGUUGUUUUGUGCGGUAGAGCGAAUGAUUAGCGCACUCGGGGGCAAUAUGCCUUCGGGCGAUUCUCAAACUUUUAAUGCGCAAGGGUGCCGCUGCUUGAUUGAGCGGCACCGGCAAAAACGUCGGCCCCGUGGGCCACUUUUGGUAAGCAGAACUGGCGAUACGGGAUGAACCGUAAGCUCGGUUAAGGCGUCAAACUGCACGCUUAGAGACCCCACAAAAGGUGUUGAUUCAUCGAGACAGCAGGACGGUGGCCAUGGAAGUCGGAAUCCGCCAAGGAGUGUGUAACAACUCACCUGCCGAAUGAAUUAGCCCUGAAAAUGGAUGACGCUAAAGCGGGCGGCCGACACCGGGCCGUCUGGUCGAGUUAUGAUCAGAUGAGUAGGAGGGCGUGGUGGUUGUGUCGAAGGGUACGCGCGAGCGUAUCUGGAACGGCCACUAGUGCAGAUCUUGGUGGUAGUAGCAAGUAUUCAAGCGAGAUCCUUGAAGGGCGAAGCGGGGAAGGGUUCCACGCGAACAUUGAUUGGGCGUGGGUGAGUCGUUCCUAAGCCGAGUGGCAAUAGCUAAGUAUUGGCGAAAGGGAAGCAGGUUAAAAUUCCUGCACACGGAUGUGGACGCGGCGACGCUCAUUGGGGUGGAGACGUUGGCGAAGGCGCUGGGCAGAGUUGUCUUUUCUGUUUGACCUAUUGCGCAUGCGGUGUGGAAUCCGCUUGUCGGGAGAAACACGCGUGCCAGGGCAGAGCGCCGGGGUUUAUCCGGCGUCCAGCUCGCCUUCGACGACCCUUGAAAAUCCACCGAAUGAUAAACUCCACGCCGUGGCGUACCGAUCACCGCAUCAGGUCCCCAAGGUGAACAGCCUCUGCCCAAUAUGAAUAAUGCAGGUAAGGGAAGUCGGCAAAUUAGACCCGUAACUUUGGGAUAAGGGUUGGCUCUAGUGCUGCGUGGGAGUGGUUGCCUUGGGUCGGGAUGGCUCCCAACGCGGGACGUGUGGUCGGGCAACUGACUAUAUGGCCUGCUGAGGAGGCUAUUCUGCCUGGGGCGACGCCCACAGCAUGCAGCAAACUAGAACUGCAACGGUCAAAGGGAAUCCGACUGUUUAAUUAAAACAAAGCAUUGCGAGGGCCGUGGCCGGUGAUGACGCAAU
rnacentral:rRNA from 1 species